rnacentral:rRNA from 1 species
GGUGAACGCUGGCGGCGUGCUUAAGACAUGCAAGUCGAACGGCAGUCUUCGGACUGUAGUGGCGCACGGGUGAGUAACGCGUAACUGACCUACCCCAAAGUCGCGGAUAACGAUUCGAAAGAAUCGCUAAUACGUGAUGUGCUGUCAGAUUGUGUUCUGCCAGUAAAGAUUGAUUGCUUUGGGAUGGGGUUGCGUUCCAUCAGCUAGUUGGUGGGGUAAAGGCCCACCAAGGCGACGACGGAUAGCCGGCCUGAGAGGGUGGCCGGCCGCAGGGGCACUGAGACACGGGUCCCGCUCCUACGGGAGGCAGCAGUUAGGAAUCUUCCACAAUGGGCGAAAGCCUGAUGGAGCGACGCCGCGUGAGGGAUGAAGGUCUUCGGAUCGUAAACCUCUGAAUCAGGGACGAAAGACACUUCGGUGGGAUGACGGUACCUGAGUAAUAGCACCGGCUAACUCCGUGCCAGCAGCCGCCGUAAUAC